rnacentral:rRNA from 1 species
AUUGAACGCUGGCGGCAGGCCUAACACAUGCAAGUCGAGCGGAGCGGCGGACGGGUGAGUAAUGCCUAGGAAUCUGCCUGGUAGUGGGGGAUAACGUCCGGAAACGGGCGUUAAUACCGCAAACUAUCAGAUGAGCCUAGGUCGGAUCAGCUAGUUGGUGGGGUAAAGGCCUACCAAGGCGACGAUCAGUAACUGGUCUGAGAGGAUGAUCAGUCAAACUGGAACGGAGACACGGUCCAGACUCCUACGGGAGGCAGCAGUGGGGAAUAUUGUACAAUGGGCGAAAUCCGGAUGAAGACAUGCCGCGUGUAUGAAGAAGGCCUUCGGGUUUUAAAGUACUUUCAGCGGGGAGGCGUUACCCGCAGAAGAAGCACCAGCUAACUCCGUUCCAGCAGCCGCGGUAAUUC